UGGGGCUACACACGUCAUACAAUGGCUGGUAACGAAAGGGUUGACCAACCCGCGAGGGGGAGCCAAUCCCAUAAAGCCAGUCGUAGUCCGGAUCGUAGUCUGCAACUCGACUACGUGAAGUCGGAAUCGCUAGUAAUCGUGGAUCAGAAUGUCACGGUGAAUACGUUCCCGGGUCUU
rnacentral:rRNA from 1 species